UACGUAGGGGGCUAGCGUUGUCCGGAAUCAUUGGGCGUAAAGAGCGUGUAGGCGGCCAGGUAGGUCUGCUGUGAAAACUCGAGGCUCAACCUCGAGACGUCGGCGGAAACCAUCUGGCUAGAGUCCGGAAGAGGAGAGUGGAAUUCCUGGUGUAGCGGUGAAAUGCGCAGAUAUCAGGAAGAACACCCGUGGCGAAGGCAGCUCUCUGGGACGGUACUGACGCUGAGACGCGAAAGCGUGGGGAGCGAACAGG
rnacentral:rRNA from 1 species